UUUCACCACUUCCAAUCAGUUCCAAAGAGAAACCAAGUGAGAGGGUCCGGGGAAGUUGCUGUGAAUUUCUUUUAACAACAGAGGAAGCAUCAAGGAAAUGAAUGGAGUGGUCCGACGAGCAUGCUAAUGGAAUGGAUUCUGGAUUACAUGCCAAAGUAGAGGAAAAUUGGAUGCAAAUUCAGUGGUUUGAGAUAGAAGGAAUCCACAAGACACAAACUGCCCAGUUUGAUGGAUUGGCCAGUGUCCGAGCAAUGUUGACAGCUCCUCAAAGUCGCAUUUCAAAGCUAAGUUGACGAGUCUUUGUGCUACCAAUGCCCACAAGCGACACUUUUGAAGGCAAAAGAAGCCAACUACCAUCAUUGGGAGUGGAGAAGACUUCCACAUCAGAUUGGUUGGAAGAAGUGUAACAAAAUCAACAAAACUUACCUUUUGGAACAACUUGGAAAAAAAAACCACUCUUUAGCUAUCUUUAGUUAGUUUUAGUUUCUCUCUCUAAGCUUAGUUUUCUCUCAUCCUUGAAGCAAAUUUCGAACCAUAGGCAGCCAUUGCCACUUUUGCUCACCAUGGGGUGAAGCUUGUAGUUGUGUAGUGUUUUAAUGCUUUGAAUGACCUAGUUCCUUAUUGUACUCAUUUUCCAACAUCUUAACUCUCUAGUUAAGGUUGUUGGGCUGAUAUUAAAAAGCUUUUGGUGCAUUUAAA